rnacentral:tRNA from 1 species
GUCUGCGAGCGUUGGUGCUGGUUACUGCACUCUCCACGCGCGGACUGUAAAUCUGCCGGCUCAGCCUUCCCAGGUUCGAAUCCUGGCGCCGCCA